rnacentral:lncRNA from 1 species
GUUGUGGACUUAGAGUAGAGUCAUUUAUUCGAAGGUCUAUUCUAUCUCAGAUUAUGUAUAACUGGUAUGCACUAUGUGAUUAUAGACGUGACUGAUAAGUAUCACCCCCUGUAAGUAAUUAUAGGGUUAGACAUCUAUUAAUUAUCUCUUCUACCCCUAUUCUCGCACCAGCAACGUGACGGGAGCUCAACUACCAAGAGACCGUAUUCUUCGUAACCAAGAAAAUGGUGGUUGGAUCAGAGAGAAUCUCGAAGAGGAUCCUAAUGAAAUGAUAAAGGAAGACCCCGACGAGACUUCCAUGGUCCGACACCUUGAUGAGUCGUAGAUUUACAGAGACAGAGUUAGGAACAAGUUCAACACCCUUCGUAUGGCAUGGAUGGGGUUCCUAUGACCUCAGUAGAGGAGGAUUUGUAGACAGGGCUCUCCUUGUCAUGGUACGCCGCAUCACUCACAAGAGGGUGCAAACACAAGCAUCGGUCAGCCAAAUCGUGGAGGUUGGAGCUACCACCAAGAUCACUGCAACUCGCCUAGGUCGCUUGGAUGGAGGCCAUGAAAAGAUCAUAAACCACAUCAAAACCUUCAGAAGGAAGUGACCGCAACUCGAGCUGAGAUUAGAGAGUACCCGGAACGUCAAACAGCGUUAGAGAAAGAGCAUGAUCACAGCAGAACAUCAAAUGACAGAAGCCAAGGUAGGAGUUAGGUCGAUGCAGAUUUUCAUGCCUUCAUUCUAUGGCCCACGAAACAUCACCCACCGCGAGUAGUGUUGUAAACUACUGAUGAAUCGAUAAAGAAUCAAACUACUAGAAUACGUUUAAACACCAUACCUCACAUGCAUGAAUUCGACCCUUCAAAUUUAGAGACUACGCCAUUCAAGAGGGUCGUGUCAGUGUCGAAAUUUUUCCAUACCAUAAUGUAACGUGGACCUUCUAUAAGGUCAAACUUUCCAGAACUUUAUGUACUAGACUAUGUAAAUGGAAUUAGCAUACAUUUUAUUUCUUUGGGAGUUUACCAAAUAUGUCAUAACCUGGUAUUACAGAUGAUUCGCUUAUGGUUCCUUUAAGAUUGCUUAAUGUAUACCACAAGGUUAGGUAUAAUUAAGAGACGAUCGACUUAGAAAUGGUGAGUCCGCCUUGGGUCCUGUUCGUUGUUUGGUCGUGGGCCUAGGGCAGACUCAUUAAGUUCAACGGCCUAUUGGACCUUAAUUAUACACAACAGGUAUACAUCAGGUGAUCUUAGGAGUGGAUCAGGCAUGGAACAAAUUUCAAGAUUUCAUUCGAGUCAUUACUACUAAAUUCACAAGUUNUCACAUAACUCUAUUUAAGUUUUAAAAGGUCAUCAAACGUUUGGCUUCGUGCUCAUUUAGUCACUUAACUUUUGUUUUGGUCACAUUUAGUCACCAAACUUUUAAAAUUGUAUUCAUUUAGUCACUAAACUUUUAAAUUUUUUUUAAAUUUUAAUGACUAAAUGAGCACAAUUUUAGAAGUUAGGUGACUAAAUGAACACAAAUCUAAAAGUUGGGUGACUAGAUGUGACCAAAUCAAAAGUUAUGUGACUAAAUGAGUACAAAAUCAAAUGUAUGAUGACCUUUUAAAACUUAAAAAUAGUUAACUGACCAAAUGAGAAAAAAAAAACCAAAAGUUAUGUGACCAAAAAUGACCUAAACCCUAAAAACUAAUAACCUAGUUUUACGACGCCCGACUAAUUACCAUUACUAAAAGACUUAUACCCACUUCGUCUUUGAAAUUCUAUAACAGAAAGAUGCCGCCUCGUAGGUUGGCUAGACGCACUGGCGGAACACAAACAAAUCCGGCACCGCUGCCUCCCCAAUAUGAUCCUGUCAUGUUCCAAGUUGCGGUCACAGCCGCGGUGGCAGCUGCUAUGUCCCAAAUCAGCACUGAAGGUACCAGAAGGACAGGGAGUGGUAUUAAUAACUCCACUCAAGGAGAAAGCCAAGGGCGCUCAAGAGAGUGUUCCUUUAAGGACUUCACCAAUGGUAAACCCGAUUCUUUCAAUGGAAGCGGGAUAGUCAUCACACUGAUGCAAUGGUUCGAGAAGACCAAAUCGGUCUUCAAAAUUUGUGCAUGCCCAGAAGCAAGCAAGGUCAAAUUUGCAGCUUGCACUUUCUUUGGCCGAGCCCUUACUUGGUGGAACAACCACGUUAAGUCACUGAUGCGUGCGGUGGCUAACUCGUUAAGCUAGGAAGACUUAAAGAUGAUGAUGCUGAAAGAGUACUGCCCAAGGGGCGAAGUGCAAAAACUAGAACAAGAAAUAUGGAAUCUCAAAAUGACCGGCUCUGACCUUGCAACUUACACCGACCAAUUCUGUGAUCUAGCACUCCUUUGUCCCGCGAUGGUCACUCCUGAGGAAAAGAAGGUGGAACGAUACCUCUGGGGAUUGUCUCCCCAAAUUCAAAAUAGUGUGUUGGCCUAAAGACCAGCUACCUUUGAUAGUGCCAAGGAGUUGGCACAAUAACUCAUCGACCAUAGGUCCAUCCGUGACACUGUAACAACCACUCCUGAGCAAGACAGAGGGAUAAGCAACAAAAGGAAGUUCUGGAACAACAAGAAGGACCAACCAGCCCAAGACUCCACCAAAAAGCAACAGAACGUUGUUGUUCAUGCUGGCACAAUUCCUGCCACUCCAGCACCCAUAAAUCGAUACGCUGGAACCCUUCCGAAAUGCAACAAGUGUAACUUCCAUCAUACUGGGGUUUGUUGGGAGAUGCAUUGCAAGAAUUGCAACAGGAAGGGGCACAUUAUCCGUUUCUGUAGAGCACCGACACAACCCAUCAAUCAGGUCCCCGACAUUCGAGCCAGCCCAACUUGUUACGAGUGCGGUGAAGCAGGACACUUUAAGAGGGACUGUCCAAAGACAAGGAAUACUGGUGACGGUGGAAAGGUGCUUAUGAUCACUGCAGGAGAAACUCCCCCGAAACCACCCGUGAAUAGCGGUACGUGCUUCUAACUGCCACAUGUAGGUUUUAAAUCCUUGCUGAGACUAGUGUCGACUUAGGGUUUAUCAACCAUAGAUCUAGAGAACAUGACAAAUCCAAGUAAGUCUUAUCACAUAUAUAAAAACACAGGGUUUUUACUAGCGAAUCUAUGAUGGACAGUGUAAACAUUAUGGUCGUAUAUCAUUUAGAUUCUAAGGACUUAGAAUGUAUAAUUCCGCCUUAUUUCAUGUUCCUUGUUUGGUUAUGGGCUUAAGAUGGGUUCACCCAUCUGAAUGCCCUUGCAAUCUUAAUGAUAUACGAUUAUUUUACACCAAGCGAUUAUAAAAGAGUUGGUAGGACUUAUAAUGCAAAUUUUGUCACAAUUUGUUGAAGCAUCCGUAGUACUAGAACUCACUAACUACGUUAUAAAAUAUUCAUAGUGGUAAUACCAAGUAUAAAGCGGAGAGCAUAAAGGCACACAUAGAAUACUCUAUCAUUCCAAAACAACAAACUACUUUUAAAUCGACUCAACUUAUGUUACAGUAAGAAAUUCCAAGGUCGUCAUUUAACAUCAGGCGGAUUGGUCCCCACCAUAUCAAUUUCUUAUGCUACGAAAAGUUUCCCCCAUCUUUCCUCCAAAUUCUUGAAGUCCCAGUUGAAACACUAAUUUCGGGACGAAAUUCUUUCUAACAGGGGGAUGAUGUGACAACCGUCAACUUUUGGCCAAGUCAAAGUCAAUUAAAGUCAACAAGUCAAACCGGUCAACUCAUCUAACCCUUUUAUAUUAGGGUUUCCAUUAUGAUUCUUAUUGUACUUCUCACAAUCUUAAUAUAAAGUAUCACUUAGAGUUUUCACGUGUUCGGAAAUUCUAAACCCAAAUCAAGGUAAAUGAUGAAUCUACUCGAUAAAACAGUGUUCCAUACCUGUAGAGAGCGUAUAACAUUCAUAACAAGGCUCAACAGAGUGUACGAACCUUGUCUCGCGAAGCCAAACACUCAAAAAGGUCACAAAAGAAAUCUCUCUCAAAUCUCUCCAAGUAUGAGAAAUCUCUCCCAAAUCUCUCUCUGAAUGAGAAAUAUCUCCAAGUAUGUGAAACCUCUCCCAAAUCUCUCUCUGAAUGAGAAAUAUCUCCCAAAUCUCUCAUUGAAUAAGAAAUCUCUCCAAGUAUGUGAAAUCUCUCCCAAAUCUCUCUCUGAAUGAGAAAUCUCUCCUAGUAUGUGAAAUCUCUCCCAAAUCUCUUUCAAAUCUCUCUCAGAAGUUCCAUUAACUUUUUAUAGUCUUUCGGGUCAUCCCGACCCUUAACCAGGUCAAAAACCGCUUGAAACUGGAAGAUUUCUUGAAAAAUAACCUUAAAGAACCGAAACCUUCUCUUAUAGGGCGAAGCCUCUCGGACCGAAACCAUGAAGGACGGAACCGAAGCCUGCUGACCUGAACCCGAACACUUCUGAACCGAACCCGAACCUCGCCUUCGCGCCUGACCUUUGCCUUCGGUCCUAGUCUUUUAAGGACCAAACCUGACCACCCCCCCCCCCCCCAAUGCGAGAAGCCUCGCAGAAAGGCCAUUUCUUCCCGAUUUUUGACUACAACUUCGUUUUAGGCCCGAUUUUCAUCAUUUUAACGUGGGAUUUUCACCCAAAACUUUAUUUUAACAUUUAAAGCCUCAAAUUUCAUUAAUCCCCACGUUUUUAGUGCCAAUCAUAUCCAAGAUUUAGUGGUUGAAGUACAAGGGGGUGGAGUGUUGACCUUCCUUUGAUUUAAGACACAAGCAACCACCCAUACCCACUCUAUGACCAACCCACACCCUCCCUACCAUACCUAGUCACUUCCUUGUACUUUUCCAUCAAUCUCCAGUCAUUCCCACGUCCUAAGAGCUGGAAAACUCACCCUCUCUCCUCAUUCUCACUCAUUUCUCUUAUUUCCACCCAAAGAGCAAACACUUUUCUCUCAACUUCUCUCUUUCAAUUCUGAGAUUUCCAAGGCUUCUUCCAAGAUUUUCUUCUACUUUUGGUAAGUAUUAUCAUCCUCCAUAUGAUUAUUUCACUCCUUUUCUACUCAAAUCAUUGAUUUCUUACACAAACUCCUUCAUAUUUGUGUUAGAUCUUCGAAUCUUCAAGCAACCUUCCAAGUGUUCUUGAGUUGAACACUUCCCAUCUUCAACAUACAUACACUAAAAUCACUCGAGGUGAGUUCAUACCCCUAUAUUUUCAUGUUUUUCUUAAGUUUUAAGGGGGGAAUACAAGUUAAAACACCAAGAACACAACUAAACUCAAACAACAGUUUUCAUCAGAAAAGUUGAGUCUUAUUCACGGACUGUUUUGACUAUCUUAAACUUAAUAUCUUUCAAAACUGUAUUAGAUGCAAAUAUUUCAGGCUCAUCCCUUGAAAAUGACUUCUUGCACAUCUGCAUACGAUUUUUCUAUAAUUUAUGGUGAUUUUUACAAAACUGCUUAUCAUUUCAUAAACGAAUUCUACCAAUCUGUGAAUAUGAACAUUUUAACACAAGUUAAAGACUUCCAAAAAUCAUAAUAAAAAUUAUGAAUAAAGUAGAUACAUUUUAUGAACUCUUAGAAUUUACGGAUUCAGAUUUCGACUUCGUAAGAUUUUUGUGUGAUUUUUCUAAAUUAGUGCAGAAUGGUUAAAAACUAGUUAACAAUUUGUAUUAUGUUGAGCAAAGUGUAUAACUAUAAGUUCUAAAUAUUGAAGGUAUUUUCUUGUUAGUUUGUCAUCAUAAACUGAAAUUUAGUCAUUCACGAUAGGUAUUCUUCAUUCAUUCGAACACAUAUAAUAAGCUAUAAUAAGCAUAGUUUAUGGAUUUUUACUACAUGAGAAAGGUUUUACUCUCAAAACAAAUGGGUUUUUCAUAUACUACAUAGUAGUAAUAGUUUAUGGACUCAUAGAAUUAAUGUAUUUUCAUAAAAGGGGUUAUUUUAAAUUAGAAACAUUUUGGAUUAACUAUAAUAGGUAUAGUUUAUGUAUCAUUUACAUUUCAAACUUAUUUGCCAAAGGUUUUCAGUUCAAUUCACGUAAAUCUGUUAAUGAAUAAAUUUGUGAGACAUUCGCUUGGUGUUACCUUCAUGGUAACAGAGUCAAAAGUCCUAUAAAUUGUAACCAGAGUCUCUUGUAGGGAGAGCGUGAUAGUUGUGUAUAAAUCUAUAUUGGGUCUGACAAGCCCGCACCUGAGCUGCUUCCAACAGCUAGAUCGGCAGGUCUGAGUUGACAAGUGUCAUUUAACGUGCGACGUCAGAAGAACGUCAUAUUACGAGGCCGUCUGAGUAUUAGCAUGGUUAUAAUAGCUCACUUGUGGUACUAACAACUCAUAACAUUUACAGGUUCUACUUUCAAAUUAGCGAGUCAUGUCGAUUUAACUCACAUAAAUUACUUUAAGUAUGGAAAAAUACUUGUACACUUUUAUAUCAAAAAGGAUUUUAUGCUGAUUUAAAAUCACUUUUAUAUCUUUAAGUAUGGAAAAAUACUUGUUUAUAUUUGGUCCUGGGAUUUAGGACUACCUAACUCUUAUAAGGAAAAUAUUGGAUUUUCUUUGGAAACAUAUUUCUGUUAAAACUACAAUCAUCUAGAAUUGUUAGGCCUCGACUAUAAUUGCUAAGUGUAUAUGUUAUAGUUAUAUAAGAAUCUAUUCAAAAUCGAGUUAGAAUUGGUGGGCCCGCCUUUCUUCGUGUUCCUUGUUUGGUUGUGGACCUACGGAAGACCCAUUAUAUUCGACGGUUUAUUUAAUUUACAUUUAAUAUAACUUAUAUACACUGGGUGAUUGUAGAAGGAAUCUACGGGUCUUUCUAGGGUUCAUUAUCGCAUAACAUAGAAGCAUUCAUUUCACACUUAACAAAGAAAAUAUUGGGUUUUUUGGAAACUUACUUUGUCGCUUUUACAAAGAAAACAAUUUCUUUCUCAAAAAAAACUCUUAUGAACUCACCAACUUAAUUGUUGACCCUUUUCAAAAGUACUUGUAUUCUCAGGAAAUCAGUGAAACAGGAAAACAACAGCAUUUUGAGGAUGGGACGUUAAAUCGUCAAACAGUUCAUUUUGUCAUCAUAAUGUAGUUGAUUUUGAAACAUGUAAACUUACUAUGCUGUAACUUUUUCAAUUAUAUUUAUGAUGGUUGUAUUUACUUUGAGCACCAUUAUAUACUCGUUGUUGUGAUACUAUACAUGAAGUCCUCCACCCCCGGACGUUUCUGCCAUCCUUGGUUUGGGGGUGUGACAGAUUGGUAUCAGAGCAUUGUUUAUAGUGAACUAAGUAUAUCGAACCGCAUAAGAUAUACAAACUAUAAAUGCAUUGGACUAAGGUCUUUGAUUUAACAUUUUCAAAUAACUAUACUUUUAGAAAUAAAUAGUUUCUUGUUAAAGUAUACAUGCAUGCAUACAUACUAAGGUCAACAUCAUUCUAGAAGAAAACAAAAGUAAUGAUUGUUGAAUAGCACAAGUAGGCUUGGGGAUGUAUAGUCAGGUCUGGGAAUGACAUAGCCUGAUCAACUAUGUCUAACCCAGAAGUGAUUAGCAUGUGCCCGGGAAUGGUUGUGGCAUUGCAACAAGUCUAAAAACUUACCAAUUCUAUUUACAAUCAAACGCUGAAAACAUAAGGCAAACAUUAAAAAUACUAUAGGAGUAUUUGGUGAUACUAUAACCAACUUAUGUGAAAACUAAAGACCCCUAUUAGUAGGUCUAUAACGAUUGAGUGCAUAUGCUAAGGUUAUACAUAAUUGAGGAUAUUAUAGACUCAGAAUCUAUGACUAUUGCUCUAGUUCUUGUUCCUUGUUUGGUCGUGGACUUAGAGUAGAGUCAUUUAUUCGAAGGUCUAUUCUAUCUCAGAUUAUGUAUAACUGGUAUGCAAUAUGUGAUUAUAGACGUGACUGAUAAGGAUCACCCCUUAUAAGUAAUUAUAGGAUUAGACAUCUAUUAAUUAUCUCUUCUACCCCUAUUCUCGCACCAGCAACGUGACGGGAGCUCAACUACCAAGAGACCAUAUUCUUCGUAACCAAGAAAAUGGUGGUUGGAUCAGAGAGAAUCUCGAAGAGGAUCCUGAAGAAAUAAUAAAGGAAGACCCCGACGAGACUUCCAUGGUCCGACACCUUGAUGAGUCGUAGAUUUACAGAGACAGAGUUAGGAACAAGUUCAACACCCUUCGUAUGGCAUGGAUGGGGCUCCUACGACCUCAAU